UGUGAAUGUGAUAUAAGAUAUUGGUAUGUAUUGUUGAUUGUUUAUUGAUGAAAAUUUAUAUGUGAAAGACUUACUGGGAACUCAAGAAAAAAGUAGAUAGGCCCAGUACAUAGGGAACCCUACCAUGAAUGUUACCUCAGUCAGACGGAAAUAAAGUUCCUUACCGAAAAGGUUUAAGAGAUAUAAUUCACCCUUAUACCGGACGGGGUAUCGAGACGAUGGAAUGUUUGGCACUCAUUAUCGGACGAGGUAUGGGGAUGGUCGAUUAAUUGUUAAAAUUGGUUAUUGGGUUCACGAGUAGGGAAAAUACCCCUAUGGACCCCCUAGGGUACCAGUAAGUAAGUAAGGAAGAAAAGUUAUUAUUUCUUGUUCUCUUAUGUGUGAAAUUGAAGAGUGAUAUGGAUAUGAGUUUUCAUAGGUUGUUUUGGAAAACUCGUUACGGUAAGCUCUUAAUAAACGAUCUUCUUUAUAUUAAAUGAAUUUACUCAAAUUAAUUGCUCAAUUAGUUAUUUUAUGAUUUUUACCAAUCUUUAGUUUUUUGUAUCUGUGAUUAGUGUGAUAUUCUUAUUGGACUAGUGUAGCUCACUCUUUCAUUAACAAUUUUAUAUCAAGAGAACCAAGAUCCAGAUCUCGAUCAGCGAGAGGAUUGUGAGUAGUUCACUAUCUAGACUCCCUUCAAGUGGUAGUGAAGGUUGUCCUAUGAUGUUUAGUUAUUCACUUUUC
rnacentral:lncRNA from 1 species